UCUGUGAUUUUUUUAAAUUUUAUAAACAUUCUUAUAGUUUGCUUGAAAUAAAUAUAAGUUAUAUAUACUUAAUCAUCUGUAGAAUUUUUUUAUUAAUGAAAAAAAAAGAAUUAGCUUAACUGAUUAAUCAAUAUUUAGGUCACAAGGCUUUUUACCCUGAUGAUCGAAGCUUGUCUAGAAAUUGCUUCAGAUUACUUUUAAGCAAAUAGAACAGUUUUGAACAUUCAAAAGGUCCCAAGUACAUGUAAAUAUUAAUGACACACAUUUUUGAUGACCAACAAUGUAUGAAGAAAUUUUCAAAGAACAUAAAAAUAAAAAACACAAAAAAAUCACAUUAUAAAUCGAACACUGUUUCUGUUAGCGCUUUCACUGCAUCCCUUACAGUUCAUCAGACAGAAUUGUUAUCGUUACUAGUAACAACUUGUGAUGUUACCUAAUAGUAACGUCAUGUGGUAGUUUGUAUAUAUUACGGAAUCUUAUUCACAGACCGAAUUUCACUUCCUAUUAAAAGUCGGCUUAUACAGUUAAAUAAAAUAGCGUUCCUUGGCUUCAAGUGGAAUUUUAUCUUAGGUCCACAUCUGAAACUAGAGGCUCUAAAGAGCCUGUGUUGCUCACCUUGGUCUAUGUGCAUAUCAUAAACGAAGGACACAGCAGAGUGAUGGAUUCAUGACAAAAUUGUGUUUUGAUGCUGGUGAUGUGUUUGUAGAUCUUAC
rnacentral:lncRNA from 1 species